UUUUAAUCUGAGAUUUCCACGAGUUAGAACAAAAAAUUUGGUUGCUCCACAUUUAUUGGUAAAAUUUUAAUUAAUAGCUUAUUAUUUCAUUUAUUUGUUCAAUUAAACAUAAAGUAGAAAAUUUGUUUAUUAAUGUAACUUUUGAAAGUGUCAAUUUAAAUUUUUUAAGGUGAUUAAAAUUAAAAGUGGAAUCUUGGGUAGGCUAAAUUCACGUGAGUAGAAAAUUAAUUAAUCUAAUCUAUUUUGAGAAAAUCAGUAAAAUUUGUUCAUUAUUUUAAAAAUUAGGUCUUGUCAAAAAGAAAACAUAAUUCAGAGUAUAGGUUU